rnacentral:tRNA from 1 species
GCGCGAGUUGUCUAGUGGUUAUGAUGUCGCACUCGUAAUGCGAAGGUCGGGAGUUCGAAUCUCCUUUCGCGCA